CCCCCCCCCCCCCCCCCCCCCCCUCCUGGGGAGCGUGGGGUAAACGGUGGAGUGGGACCCCUGACUCAUCUGGAGGAGAAGUGGAUCUUUUAGGGGUCUUAGAGCUGCUGCGUGUUGUCAAGGCAGCGAAGCGUUAGUGUCCGUACAGGCCCAUCCAUGCCAGCUGGUUACGAUCGGAGGAGAAUCCCAGGAGGAUGAGACCGAAAAGGCGUUGACCGGCGACACGCGCCGGAGCAGGCAGCCCUCACAUAAAGCAGCACAGCGUGCGGCGCCGAAACCUGGUCGGCCUAUGUGGGAUUGCCGGGGCCUCUUUGAAGUACCGAGCCGCGGCUGUUUCCUUUGUGUGUAACGACGCAAAAAAAAUCAAACCUAAAACCAAAACACCCCUAAGAAUACCUGAAAGGGGUACAAUAUAAAGUGCCAUAUGUAUAUGAUGCUUUACACGUCUCUUUUUUUUUGUGUUUCAUCCCCUCCCCUCCGCCGUGAUUAUGCAUGUCUUCUGUGAAGAGCUGCACUGCGUCGGGAGAGCCCCCUUGAAUGGAAACUGUGAGACUGCAGUUGAAGGUGAAGCACCCGAGUUCAGAGAGCGAGAGGAUCAGCCGGCGCGUGACUGACACAGAGCAGUGCACUCUGGGAGCUCAGGGUUUUGUCCCUGUGUAGACGCCGCGGCAGACUUACAUUUGUGGGAAUGUUUAAUGCUUUAAUGUAAGGUUCACAUGAGCGUGGCCUACAUAGUUUCUGUGUCUGGGAACUCAA
ensembl:lncRNA